AGUGAACGCUGGCGGUAGGCCUAACACAUGCAAGUCGAACGGCAGCACAGUAAGAGCUUGCUCUUACGGGUGGCGAGUGGCGGACGGGUGAGGAAUACAUCGGAAUCUACUUUUUCGUGGGGGAUAACGUAGGGAAACUUACGCUAAUACCGCAUACGACCUACGGGUGAAAGCAGGGGAUCUUCGGACCCUGCGCGAUUGAAUGAGCCGAUGUCGGAUUAGCUAGUUGGCGGGGUAAAGGCCCACCAAGGCGACGAUCCGUAGCUGGACUGAGAGGCUGAUCGGCCACACUAGAAGUGGAACACGGUCCAGGGUCCUGCGAGAGGGCGCAGUGGGGAAUGUUAGGCAGCGGGCGGGAAUCUGGUUCAGCGGGCCCACGCCGGUUAAGAAGGCGCUGCGGUCGUGAAGCCCUUUUGCUGGGUGAGAAACGCAUCCGCCUAAUACCACGCUGUACUGACGGUAACCAAAAAAGAAGCACCGGCUAACUUCGUG
rnacentral:rRNA from 1 species